rnacentral:rRNA from 1 species
UACGUAGGCAGCGAGCGUUGUUCGGAGUUACUGGGCGUAAAGGGUGCGUAGGCGGCGCGGUAAGUCGGGUGUGAAAUCUUGGAGCUUAACUCCGAAACUGCAUUCGAUACUGCCGUGCUUGAGGACUGGAGAGGAGACUGGAAUUUACGGUGUAGCAGUGAAAUGCGUAGAUAUCGAGAGGAACACCAGUGGCGAAGGCGAGUCCCUGGACAACUCCUGACACUGAGGCACGAAAGCUAGGGGAGCAAACAGG